GUGCUGUAGUGCUCUCUCCUCCGUGAUUAUAAAUACCCUUCUGAAUUGUUCUUCAAGCUUUCCCAGCUGUGUAGCUUCCUAUUUCCGGCACGGCAUAUCCGCGUCAUCACAUUGCGCCCGUUUACGUGAAGUGAUUACGUCACUUCCGGUACCUCGUUCAUUGAAGUGAGGGCACGUUCAAUACAGUCCCAUGUUGAAUGCGGGCAAAUGAACUUAAAACAUAGUCUGGAUAUACAUAGUAGAAUAGGGGAAAGAAACAAAUAAGUAUUUUGCAAUGAUAGAUGAAGUAAUCAAUAAGUCACAUAAUAUACAAAGAAGACUAAAAGACUCUAAGACAACUGCUAACAAUAUAUAUGAUAAGAACUUUAACACGGUGGCGUUUCCCCUACACUGCAUGGAUCUAAGCACUAUUUGGAGAACUUAGGCGGACAGAUAAAGGCUAUUUGAGGAUGUA